UCGAGAGGCUUCGGCAAUGGGGGAAACCCUGACCGAGCGACGCCGCGUGGGCGAUGAAGGCCGUUAGGUUGUAAAGCCCUGUCAUGCGGGGCGAAUUCAGGAGGGUGAACAAUCCUUCUGUUUGACGGUACCGCAAGAGGAAGCUCCGGCUAACUCCGUGCCAGCAGCCGCGGUAAUACGGGGGGAGCGAACGUUGUUCGGAAUCACUGGGCGUAAAGGGCGUGCAGGCGGCUCGGUAAGUGGAAGGUGAAAUGCCCUGGCUCAACCAGGGAACUGCCUUCCAUACUGUCGAGCUUGAGUGCGGGAGAGGAUGGGAGAAUUCCCGGUGUAGCGGUGGAAUGCAUUGAUAUCGGGAGGAAUACCAGUGGCGAAGGCGCCCAUCUGGCCCGACACUGACGCUCAGGCGCGAAAGCUAGGGGAGCAAACAGG
rnacentral:rRNA from 1 species